rnacentral:rRNA from 1 species
UACAGAGACUGCGAGCGUUAUUCGGAUUCACUGGGCGUAAAGGGUGCGCAGGCGGCCGAGUGUGUGAGGCGUGAAAGCCCGGGGCUUAACCCCGGAAUUGCACCUCAAACUACACGGCUAGAGCAUUGGAGAGGGUAGCAGAAUUCACGGUGUAGCAGUGAAAUGCGUAGAUAUCGUGAGGAAUACCAGAGGCGAAGGCGGCUACCUGGACAAUUGCUGACGCUCAGGCACGAAAGCGUGGGGAGCAAAAAGG